GCCGAGCCAGGUAGCGUUGGCUUGUCACCCGAGCGGGGGCAAUAAGGUGGUGUUGGAUGCCUGGUCGUUUGCGCUUGGGUCUGGGCCUGUGGUUUGCACUAUGCGGCCCGCCCGUUCCAAGUUGCGUAGCGUGUGUUGGGGCGCCUGGGCGAAGGCUCGAGCGUCCCUGCACCUAGAGUGGCGGGUAUUGCGUGAGGCUGGUUUCACAGAGCAGCGAGUACCGCCCGCUUCCAACGGUGGAAGGAUAACGGGCCGCUGCAGCCCUGGCCCGCUUCCGGCCCAAGUGCCUUCCAUGGCAGACCACCACCUUU
rnacentral:SRP_RNA from 1 species